rnacentral:lncRNA from 1 species
UUUUUUUUUUUGGUACUAGCUAUUGAACCCAAUUUGCUCAGGGCCCCCUGAAGUUGUUGAGGCUGGCUUUGAACUUUAGAUCCUCCUGCCUCAGCCUCCUGAGUUGCUGGGAUUACAGGCAUGCACCACCGCACCUAGCUCCAGCAGUCUUAAUAUUAGCGUAAUAAUAGUAGAAACAAUAUCUUUGGCUAUAUAAGCAAUUAACAUGAACCAUUUUGUUAAUCAAAAUAUCAAGCAGAACUUCAGAAUCCUGCAAAAAUUGGCCACAUGUAUGAUGUAGUCUCAGUCAGCCUUUGUCAGUCUUUCUACACACACACACACACACACACACACACACACUUGUUCGUGCUUCAAAGACUUAUAAGCAGACAGACUUGGACAGUAACCAAGGGAGCUGACUUUAGCUCACUCCAAGGAAUUCCCUGAUUUCUGAACAUUAUAACAACAUCCUGCACCAUCGUCUCUCUCUUCUGUAUCAGAGAAACUUUCCACUUUUACACACAUUCAUUGAAAACUGAGUUCUCUUCUGCAGGUUAAGAAGGUGAAAGUGGGAAGAGAUGGGGGGUAGCAAACAUCUAUGACAUCUCUGAGCCACCUCCCCUUAGCGGGCGGAUGAGGAAGGUGGUGAAGAGCCUAUUUUCAUUUGGACAUAAUGUGUAAGGAGUGAGUCUCAGCAUGAAGAAUUUUUCCCCACAGCCAUUUAAAGCCUGUUUGCUGCUUCAAUAUUUCACAAAUGCUCAUCAACAAACCAUUUGAAAAUAUUAACCAUAACAGUGUCCAAGGUGGCAUGGCCUUUUCCAGCAAGAAUCUGGAAUCUGUGAACAUGAAUGACACAGGCUAGCACCAUCACACACUUGUUUUAUGAAUAAUUUUGACUUAAUAUGUGAGCAAAUAUUGAGGUCUUAAUCCAUGACAAAUAAUAGGAAUUCAUAUGAGAUCAAAGGAGCUUAUUUCUUCCUAAAACAAUAUAUUUGUGGGGGAAAGAGGACAUACUGUUCUUGCUUAUUUUGUUCUGUAUCAUAAUAAAUCCACAUUAAUAUAAACGUGACUAAUUUGGAAUUUAUGAGAAUUCCAUUGGAGCUGAAUUUAUCAUUGUUCCCUGAAAAGAAAAUCUUGCCAAGGAAGUUAGUUGUAUAAACAAGAAUGCAGAAGAAAUCCCCAGUAACCAACAAAGAAUAUUUUCUAACUUUCAAAAGACAUUCUCCUUAUCAAAUGUGUGACUCCAAUGUAAACAAAGGCCCACCCGUUCUAGUUAGAUCACCUUAUAAACUCAUUGUGACCACUCUUUCUCAUUCCUGGAGCAAUGCUGUUGUAACUCAAGUUUGUUAUUUUUUUUUUUUUGGUCAAAACAAAAUGACAUUUGUUUUUAUAGUAAUGUUUUUAAUCCAUGAAAACAAUACACGAUUAACUCAAAGAUCUUAGCAAAGCCAAGAAAACACACAGGAAGAAAAACAUCCCAAAUCCACAUUUGAUGAUAAAAGCUAUUAACAUUUUGAAUGAUUUCCCUUACAGUAUUAUUUUCAAUAUGUUUUAACCAUACAAGUUAUCAGAUGUUACUGAAGCUUUUUGGACUGUUUUCACUUUGCAAUAUUUCCGUGUGACAACACAAGCUUUUCUACCUCCAUAUUUUAAUAGCUGCACAAAGCUCAGGCCCAUGUUGUUGUAUCAUUUGGGGUCACCACUUUCUUGGGCAUUCAGGUUGGUCUUGACUUUUUGUAAUUGCAACAGUGUUAUGAAUACCUUGUACAUGCUUAUUCCUGUGUCUCUUUGAUUGUUCUCUUAGGCUAAAGUCUUAAAAAAGAAAUUUAAUCAUAGCGUUCAAAUAAGGACCUAGAAACCAGUGUUUUGUUAGAGCUCCCAGGUGCUAUCUUUGUGCUUCUGAGAAAUACUAUCCCAGACUAUGAUUUGACCUUUGAUUUUGUUUAAUAGUGUCUCUGCCAGGCAGCAAAUAUUAAUGCUUGUGAUGCACAGGGUAUUUAUCUUUGUAGUUCUUGCUUUUUAUUUUCUAUACCUGAUGUCAUUAAAAAUUUUCCCUAUAUAUUCUACCACCUCUUUUAUGGAUAAAAUCUCUUAGUGUUGGGAUGCAGAUUUUUCUUUAUUUUGACAGAUUAUAAACAUCUUUUUUUCCAACUUGUUAUUACAGAACCAAAAAGAAUGAUUUUAGUGAAAGUUGUAUAAGACAUAUUUUUACAAUGUGUCUGUCAUACAGGUGAAAAGACACUUUUGACUCAUUUACUGUGUUCCAGUGUUAGAGCUUCAUUUUCAUUGACAUUAAUAACAUUUGAAAGGCUAUGGUUUUGCUGAUACACUAUAAUUCAGCAUCAGCAAGAGUGAUUAAUAAUAUGUGCUGUUCCAAUAGAAAUAUUUUAACUAUCAUUGACUAAAUUGGGAGAGAAGGGCUACUGAUAAAACUACUUUGGAAGUUAAGUUGUGCGUAAGCAAAGCGAUUAAUUAUCCCUGGGUCCAACUCAGAGAUUUAUAAAAUCAUGAGAUGCUGGAUCUGGAGAAGCCUCAUUUGAGGCAGCACUCGAUUGACUUGCUGAGUGGACACCUGUGCUGGCCUUUCUUUGGGACCAAUACCUCUCUUCAGUUGUACCGGGAUGUUGCUUCAUAGUCUUUCCUUCCAUGCAGUCCUGUGACAUAAAGCUUCCUUACUUUCUGUGUUUGCCCACAUUUCUUUGUUGCCUCUUCUGUUUGUCAAGACUUUUGGUUGCCUGCAACUGACAUCUAAGUCCAACUAGUUUGAGCCUAAAACUCCUUAGUUUUUAUUUUCAUUUUUAUGGCAGCAGUAUACAGGCAGGCAAGGAAACUAUUGUUUGAGAUCAUUCACUAGUAGUUGAAAGGAAUUUGGAAGCAAGUCAAGAAAGAAUAAAAUAUGGUUUGUAAAACAAAAGUAAAGUUGUUUGCUUUAUUAAAUGUUAUUUUACUGCAUGCAGAGUACUUUUGGCCUUCCUAUCAAACUUAAAUACUUUCCUUGCAGAAGGAUUCACAAUAACAUAAAUCUCAAUCUCUGCACUGUGGGUUUUUUUUUUAUUAUUGUGGUAAAAUAUACAAAAAAUAAUAUUUAUCAUUUAAGUUCAGUGUUGGUGAGUAGAUUCACAUUAUCAUGCAACAUCACUACCAACCAUCUCCAGAACUCUGCAACUAUUGAUACUUUGGAUUGCCUAACUCUUUGUUAGGGUAGGGGUGGGCUCUAUCCUGUGUUUGUAGGAAUUUAGCAGCAGCCCUGGGUCUGGCCACGGCAUUAGAAUUCAGUAGCAUCCUCAACUUCUCCCCUGUGUCCUGACAAUCGUAAUGUCUCUAGACAUUACCAAAUGUUGUCUGGAAGACAGUCACCUCUAGUUGAGAAACACUGAUUGAAAGGGGAAGAAUUUUCAGAUCAACUUAACAAUUUGUCCCUAUGGGUCAAAUUCAAAUUUUAUUUUUUAAGUGGUUUUAUUUUGAGACACUUUUCUUUCACUUCUCACAAUGGAUAGACAUAUGCUGCAGCCAAUUAUCAUCAAUGCAGCAAACCUCCUAGUCAUUGACUUUUUGAAGGAGCGUAAUUUGUUAUCUGUGGCUCCUGAAUAUUCUUCAUGUCACUAACCUUGAGGGUGUAUAGUGUGACAUCAAAGCACAGAUGGCUCUUCAGGGAAAUACAUUUCCUGCUGUUGUCAGUCACCAUGGGCUUCUCUUUGAAAACUGAACAUUUCCCUGAAAAUGUUAGCUAGUAUGAUGCUUUGACUUCAGGUUUUAGUAUGUUUUACUACAAAUAUCCAGGGACAGAUUCUUCAACUGAAUACAUCUCAGAGAUACAUUAUUCAAUUGAUCCAAAUUUUCACUGUAAAUUGUAUUUUACGUUGAAUAAAUAAGAAAAAAUUGCAUUCUGAGCAUUCAUUAAUUGGAGACGCACAAC